rnacentral:tRNA from 1 species
GCCGGAGUGGCGGAAUGGCAGACGCAGUGGAUUCAAAAUCCACCGGGGUAACACCCGUGAGGGUUCGACUCCCUCCUCCGGCA